GGGCGAAUAGUUCAGUUUGGGAGAACGCCUGCCUUACAAGCAGGAGGUCAUAGGUUCAAAUCCUAUUUCGCCCA
rnacentral:tRNA from 3 species